rnacentral:rRNA from 1 species
GACGAACGCUGGCGGCGUGCUUAACACAUGCAAGUCGAACGGAAAGGCCCUGCUUUUGUGGGGUGCUCGAGUGGCGAACGGGUGAGUAACACGUGAGUAACCUGCCCUUGACUUUGGGAUAACUUCAGGAAACUGGGGCUAAUACCGGAUAGGAGCUCCUGAUGCAUGGUGGGGGUUGGAAAGUUUCGGCGGUUGGGGAUGGACUCGCGGCUUAUCAGCUUGUUGGUGGGGUAGUGGCUUACCAAGGCUUUGACGGGUAGCCGGCCUGAGAGGGUGACCGGCCACAAUGGGACUGCGAUACGGACCAGACUCCUACGGGAGGCAGCAGUGGAGAAUAUGGCACAAUGGGCGGAAGCCUGAUGCAGCAGCGCCGCGUGCGGGAUGACGGCCUUCGGGUUGUAAACCGCUUUCGCCUGUGACGAAGCGUGAGUGACGGUAAUGGGUAAAGAAGCACCGGCUAACUACGUG